AUAGGUACCUUCUAUCUAUCUGGUAUGUGCUAGACGCCUAGACGGAACGAAUAAAAGGAUCCCUUUCGCUUUAUUUUCUCUCCCUUUUCCCUGAUAUUUCGGUUUGACGGCUGCUACCUCUUUCAACCCCCGGUGCUUCAAUCGAACGAGCUCUAUUAUUCUCGUGCAUCAUUAUGUCGGACGAGGAACCGGUUGACCAGAAGAAGUACUUUGAAGAGUUGUGCAAGCCUAAAUGUGUUAGAGCUUGGCUUGACUAUCAGGGCUGUGUGAAAAGGGUUCAGGCUGAUGAAACGGGCCACAAACAUUGCACUGGACAAUACUUUGAUUACUGGCACUGCGUUGACAAAUGCGUUGCACCUAGGCUGUUUGCAAAACUGAAGUAAUAUACACAUCUAUGGAUACCAUGGAGAGAUUAGCAGUCUGAUUUUGUUUUCAAUGAAACUAAUUUUGGUAUACCUAUACCUUGAGUGGAUCAUAAUAAGGAGUUGUGUCUAAAUUGGCAUGAAUUUCGAACAUUUAUGGUGUUUUAAUGGAUGUUUUUUCAUUGUGAAAAUAGACCUUUAAUUUCAAGCUUGUCCAUUUUGUGUCUUCUCUGUUAACCAACAAUUGUUUUUCUUUUCAUUUUGUGGUGAUGUUUAUAAAUAAUUGAAAAGAAGUAGUUAUGCAAGCGGAGUGGUAAUAAGGGUUGUGUAACAGGCUGGUUAAGAAAUGCACUUGUAAAUAAACGGAUCAAAUGAGUUCUGGUUAUAGUAUGUCUGUAUGCUACGUAUUUUUAUGGCCACAACUGGCGAUGGCAGCAGGGGAGGUGGUGGCGCGUUGGUAU
rnacentral:lncRNA from 1 species